AGAGUUUGAUCCUGGCUCAGAAUGAACGCUGGCGGCGUGCCUAACACAUGCAAGUCGAACGAGAAAGGGGGAUUCGUCCCCCGAGUAGAGUGGCGCACGGGUGAGUAACGCGUGGGUGACCUGCCCUGGAAUUUGGGAUAACACUGCGAAAGUGGUGCUAAUACCGGAUACGAUCCUUCAGUGAUGGAGGGUGAAAGUCGGCCUCUCGAAGAAGCUGAUGUUCUGGGAUGGGCUCGCGUCCUAUCAGCUAGUUGGUAGGGUAAUGGCCUACCAAGGCGACGACGGGUAGCUGGUCUGAGAGGAUGAUCAGCCACACUGGCACUGAAACACGGGCCAGACUCCUACGGGAGGCAGCAGUGAGGAAUUUUGCGCAAUGGGGGAAACCCUGACGCAGCAACGCCGCGUGGGUGAAGAAGGCCUUCGGGUCGUAAAGCCCUGUCAGGUGGGAAGAAUGUCCCCAGGGUGAACAAUUUUGGGGAGUGACGGUACCACCAGAGGAAGCACCGGCUAACUCCGUGCCAGCAGCCGCGGUAAUACGGAGGGUGCGAGCGUUGUUCGGAAUCAUUGGGCGUAAAGGGCGUGCAGGCGGUUGGGUAAGUCUGAUGUGAAAGCCCGGGGCUCAACCCCGGAAGUGCAUUGGAAACUGUCCGACUUGAGUACCGGAGAGGAUGGGGGAAUUCCCGGUGUAGAGGUGAAAUUCGUAGAGAUCGGGAGGAAUACCAGUGGCGAAGGCGCCCAUCUGGACGGAUACUGACGCUGAGACGCGAAAGCGUGGGGGAGCAAACAGGAUUAGAUACCCU
rnacentral:rRNA from 1 species